AGAAGAGUUUGUACAUUAAAUCCGGAGAGGACACUUGUCAACACUCUAUUUGUCAUUAACUCAGUUAAAUCUAAAACUCGCCUCCGCCUCCGUUCGCUCUUUUCUUCCACCGGUGGAGCAAACUCUGCAUCUGCCUCUCCACCACCCACACAUCUUCGUGUUCUUGGAUUUGUUUUGUAUAUCCCGUACAAGGUAAUCAAAAUUCUUGCUUUUUGUAAACCCUAACCCCAUUCACCAUUGAUGCACGAUUGCCAGAAGAAUCAGUGUAUCACAACGUGCAAACAACACAAGGAAGAAACGUAUAAUUUGGUAUACCCGGAAGUUGUAGAGUGCGGUGCUGCAACCAGCGACAACCCAGUUGGCGUACCUAAUGAUACCAUUGGAAUCAAAUAGGGAUUGUUACAAUCAAAAGACUCCAAUAUAAUGGAUGAGGGUCAUAUUUGGACUGGUAUCUUUCUUGUUGUAAUAUAAAAAUGUAUCUGUUCAUUUAAUUAUAGGGUUUGUGUUUGUAUAAGAUUUUGUACAUUGGAUAAAUUUAAAUGCUGGCAAAACAAAGCUGGCCAGUUUUUGUCGUCUCUUUGAUUUGAAAGUUUUUGGUUAAUUCACUUAGAGUGUGACUUCAUUUUAAGUGGAAAAUUCUAAGUGUGACUUCACUUGGAAUUUGAUUAGAUUUGUAUGGUUCCCACUGCGUGGCGCCCAGUGGAAAAUAAGUUCACUUUGGUGUUUAGGCGACGCCUUGCAUAACAUAGGGGUCAAUGUUGAUAUCAAUCGAGUAGAUUAAUCUAUUUGGCAUAUGAUCUUGGUCCUUACGUCACUAUUUGGCUUCAGAUAUAUAAAUUGUUUCCCCUCUUUCAUUGUAAUGUGAAAUGUUGUCUUUUCUGCAUUGUGAUUUUUCCUCAUGGUCUCGGAUUUGUACUCAUUGAUUAAUGAUAAAGGACGGAUAGACAGUUGUAAGUUGAA